CUACCUAUAAGACUGGGAUAACUUCGGGAAACCGGAGCUAAUACCGGAUAAUAUUUUGAACCGCAUGGUUCAAAAGUGAAAGACGGCCUUGCUGUCACUUAUAGAUGGAUCCGCGCUGCAUUAGCUAGUUGGUAAGGUAACGGCUUACCAAGGCAACGAUGCAUAGCCGACCUGAGAGGGUGAUCGGCCACACUGGAACUGAGACACGGUCCAG
rnacentral:rRNA from 1 species